UACGUAGGGUGCGAGCGUUAAUCGGAAUUACUGGGCGUAAAGCGUGCGCAGGCGGUUUUGUAAGCCAGAUGUGAAAUCCCCGGGCUCAACCUGGGAAUGGCAUUUGGGACUGCAAGGCUGGAGUUUGGCAGAGGAGACUGGAAUUCCUGGUGUAGCAGUGAAAUGCGUAGAUAUCAGGAGGAACACCGGUGGCGAAGGCGGCUUCCUGGCCAUUCACUGACGCUGAGACGCGAAAGCGUGGGGAGCAAACAGG
rnacentral:rRNA from 1 species